rnacentral:rRNA from 1 species
CCUACGGGUGGCAGCAGUGAGGAAUAUUGGUCAAUGGACGAAAGCCUGAACCAGCCAAGUCGCGUGAAGGAUGACUGCCCUAUGGGUUGUAAACCUCUUUUAUAUGGGAAUAACACAGGGCAUGCAUACCCUCCUGUACGUACCAUAUGAAUAAGGACCGGCUAACUCCGUGCCAGCAGCCGCGGUAAUACGGAGGAUCCGAGCGUUAUCCGGAUUUAUUGGGGUUAAAGGGAGCGUAGGUGGAAUGUUAAGGCAGUUGUGAAAGUCUGCGGCUAAAACGCAACAUUGCAGUUGAAACUGGCAGUCUUGAGUACAGUAGAGGCAGGCGGAAUUCGUGGUGUAGCGGUGAAAUGCUUAGAUAUCACGAAGAACCCCGAUUGCGAAGGCAGCUCGCUGGACUGCAACUGACGCUGAGGCUCGAAAGUGUGGGUAUCAAACAGGAUUAGAUACCCGGGUAGUC